rnacentral:rRNA from 1 species
GCAGAGAUGCUUUGGUGCCUUCGGGAACUCUGAGACAGGUGCUGCAUGGCUGUCGUCAGCUCGUGUUGUGAAAUGUUGGGUUAAGUCCCGCAACGAGCGCAACCCUUAUCCUUUGUUGCCAGCGGUUCGGCCGGGAACUCAAAGGAGACUGCCAGUGAUAAACUGGAGGAAGGUGGGGAUGACGUCAAGUCAUCAUGGCCCUUACGAGUAGGGCUACACACGUGCUACAAUGGCAUAUACAAAGAGAAGCGACCUCGCGAGAGCAAGCGGACCUCAUAAAGUAUGUCGUAGUCCGGAUUGGAGUCUGCAACUCGACUCCAUGAAGUCGGAAUCGCUAGUAAUCGUGGAUCAGAAUGCCACGGUGAAUACGUUCCCGGGCCUUGUACACACCGCCCGUCACACCAUGGGAGUGGGUUGCAAAAGAAGUAGGUAGCUUAACCUUCGGGAGGGCGCUUACCACUUUGUGAUUCAUGACUGGGGUGAAGUCGUAACAAGGUAACCGUAGGGGAACCUGCGGUUGGAUCACCUCCUUA